rnacentral:rRNA from 1 species
GACGAACGCCGGCGGCGUGCCUAAUACAUGCAAGUCGAGCGGACUAAUGGGAGCUUGCUCCCGUUAGUUAGCGGCGGACGGGUGAGUAACACGUGGGCAACCUACCUGUAAGACUGGGAUAACUUCGGGAAACCGGAGCUAAUACCGGAUGACAUAAAGGAACUCCUGUUCCUUUAUUGAAAGAUGGCUUCGGCUAUCACUUACAGAUGGGCCCGCGGCGCAUUAGCUAGUUGGUGAGGUAACGGCUCACCAAGGCGACGAUGCGUAGCCGACCGGAGAGCGUGAGCGGCCACACUGGGGCUGACACACGGCCCAGACUCCUACGGGAGGCAGCAGUAGGGAAUCUUCCGCACUGGACGAAAGUCUGACGGAGCAACGCCGCGUGAGCGAUGAAGGCCUUCGGGUCGUAAAGCUCUGUUGUUAGGGAAGAAUAAGUGCUAGUUGAAUAAGCUGGCACCUUGACGGUACCUAACCAGAAAGCCACGGCUAACUACGUGCCAGCAGCCGCCGUAAGAC